rnacentral:pre_miRNA from 19 species
CCAAGGGAACGAGUGAAGCUGCCAGCAUGAUCUAGCUCUGAAUGAUCAACAAGAUGUGCUCCCACACUGCCUUCCUGUGGAUCUUGAGCUGUUGCUAGUCUUGUGGUCAUGCCUUGCUAGGUCAUGCUGCGGCAGCCUCACUUCUUCCCAUU